CACACACACACACACACUCAGGAAUCAAUUACUGGGCAAAUCAGGCUAGCUGAUUAAAGAGACAGGAGCCUGGAGAGAUGAAUAUUUGUAUUACUCCUAUAUUUCAUUCACUAAGUUUAUUUCCUGAAGUCAUCCAUGUGUGUAUGAUACCAUGAAAAGAGAUGGGGCUUCUGAGAUUUGAGAAGAACUGCAGUCCGAAUAUGGAGAAGAUUCUCCAAAAGGGAACAAGGGUGCUCCACAGAGCGACACGUGCAGUUGGAUGCUCCGGAGUGGCUUUGGCCACAGUAAUAACCGCCCAGCACAGAAGACAGGAGGCACGGUGGAUUCCUCUACUGCCACUUCACUGCUCUCCAGAGCGACGAGGAAGACAGCGGGUCACUGAUGAGGACAUUGAGGCUCAAGGAAAACUUGUCCACAGCCGGUCAGCAAUGGAGCCAGGAUGUGAUGCGAACCUGAGCAUUUGUCUCUCAGACCAACCUCUAAAAUACUAUCCUAUGCUAACUACCAUAAGGGACUCAAAUAGAUAGCAGACAGUCUUACGUAUAACCCCUUUGCUAUUGUUUUUGUUUUGUUUUUUAAUUUUUAUUGGAGUAUAUUUGCUUGACAAUGUUGUGUUAGUUUCUGCUGUACAGCAAAGUGAAUCAGCUAUACGUAUACAUAUGUCCCCUCUUUUUUAGAUUUCCCUCCCAUUUAGGUCAUCACAGAGCAUUGAGUAUAGUUCCCUGUGCUAUACAGUAGGUUCUCAUUAGUUAUCUAUUUUAUACAUAGUAUCAAUAGUGUAUAUAUGUCAAUCCUAAUCCUCCAAUUCAUCCCACACACACCCUUUCCCCCUUGGUAUCCAUAUGUUUGUUCUCUAUGUCUCUGUCUCUAUUUCUGCUUUGUAAAUGACAUUGUCUAUACCAAUAUUUCAGAUUCCACAUAUAUGCAUUAAUAUACGCUAUUUAUUUUUCUCUUUCUGACUUACUCACUCUGUAAGACAGACUCUAGGUCCAUCCACAUCUCUACAAAUGACCCAAUUUCAUUCCUUUUUAUGGCUGCGUAAUAUUCCAUUGUAUAUACACAUCUUCUUUAUACAUCCCUUUGCUAUUAAUAGCCUAUGUUAAUAGCCUAUGUUAUUAAAAAUUAUAUGAAACAACACAUACAUCCAUAGAAAGCAUAUAGAAAACCCAUGUAUUACUUUUAGUAAUAACUGAGUUGCAAAUGGUUGGUGCAGAUAAUUAGUAAUUUUAUCUGAAUGCAAGGAAGUGGCAGAUGGGCAUUUUCUAUGAUAGUUUUUAAAAGUCCUCUGGAGAUGGUGAGAGUCAUGCUAUACCUUGAAAGUGAGGUAGAGACCAGAUCUAAAGCAGAGGGAAGGAUGCACAGUCAGGCGAUACCAUAAAUCAAAAAUGGAGGAUGGA